rnacentral:rRNA from 1 species
GUCAUGACUCAGGAUGAACGCUGGCGGCGUGCUUAACACAUGCAAGUCGAACGAAGCACUUAAGAUUGAUUCUUCGGAUGACGUCUUUUGUGACUUAGUGGCGGACGGGUGAGUAACGCGUGGGUAACCUGCCUCACACAGGGGGAUAACAGUUAGAAAUGACUGCUAAUACCGCAUAACCCGAUAGGAUCGCAUGAUCCAGACGGAAAAGAUUUAUCGGUGUGAGAUGGACCCGCGU